GAUCGACUAUUAUUAUGAUCUAAUUUGAAAACAGGAAAACGCAAUUCUUCUUUUAAUUUAUUCAUAACCGAAUCUCUCCGGUACAAUAGAUGUGUUGUAGUGGUUUGGUUUUCUUGAUUGAACCGUUUGGUUCGCACAUCAUGUACUAACUUUUGCUCUUGAGAAGUCACUUAAUAGGAAAUAUGGAUUUUGGGGCCGGCUAAUGAUCUCUGGUAAUCACAAUUCACAAAUCAUAUAUGACACAUUGCAAAGACUUUAGUUAUAGGUCUAAAUUAAGUUUUUCAUGUCAACAUGGAUGUUGUCGUUGUUGUUAGAUCAAAUAAGGCGACUCCUAACGCUUUGUAAGAAUGCAUACAUAACAAAGAUUGUCUCUACUCUCUAGUUAGGAGGUCUACGUUGAUCGCAUAAUCCCAAUUCAAGAUUUUCAUAUUGUAGAGUUAGAGAAAAAUCAGAUCAUUAAUAUAUAUUAUAGAAGUCAUGUAAAUGGUCCUUUUUAUAUAUACCUUGAGUGUGAAUCUUUAUUUAUAAACAAUAGUAGUAUUUGUAUGUCGUAAAAGCAAGCCAAGCACACAGCUUACACAAAUAGUUCACUCACGCACGCACGCACCGCCAUAUCAUACUCUAUCCCGAGAUCGUAUUGCACGGCGGUCGAGUAACAUUAUGCUUAGUCUCGGCAUAAUUCCUACAAUGAACAACAUGGGACGCCAGGAGCUAAUCUACUGGAGUCCAUUCUGGUGAAGAAAGUGGACAAGACCAAUAGUAUUAAGAGACAAUAGCCACAUN
rnacentral:lncRNA from 1 species